rnacentral:ncRNA from 10 species
UGCGUUGAUCCCGGAAUGGGACGCAAGUAGGCCACAUUUGGGGCCGAAGCAACGGAAA